CUGCGAGUGAAAGGGGAAAAGCCCAGCGCCGAAUCCUGCUGCUGGCGACGGUGGCAGGAACUGUGGCGUGGAGAUGGUGCCUAUCGGUGUGGCUGGCUCGCGUAAGUUCUCCUGAGUGAGGCUCCAUCCCAUGGAGGGUGCAAGGCCCGUGUCGUGAGCAGCCGUCGCCGAUGCGCGCUAUCGGAGAGUCGCCUUGUUUGCGAGUACAAGGUGAAGUCGGUGGUAAACUCCAUCGAAGGCUAAAUAUGACCACGAGUCCGAUAGCGAACAAGUACCGUGAGGGAAAAUUGAAAAGCACUUUGAAGAGAGAGCGAAACAGUGCGUGAAACCGCUCAGAGGCAAGCAGAUGGGGCCUCGAAGGCAUGGUGCCGAAUUCAGCCGGUAGUCUGUGCGGUGGGCCGGUCGCGGGAUCGCAAGACCCCGGCCGGUCUGGCUUGAGCAUGGCUGCUGGUGCACUUUCGGUGCUGGUACGCCACCGCCGUUGCGGAGCGUCCGUCGGUCCGGCGUGUGGAGCCUGGCUCUUUCACGAGAGUCGGUGCUCACUGCUGGUCUGCACGCGUUCGCGCCGCAACCGGUCAUGUCAGCGUGUGCCAGCGUUUGCGUUGGGUCCAUGUGCUUUGCCGCCGGGUUGUGGAGAUGACGAGCGUGCUCGGCUCUCCUACUGCGCGGUAAAAUCGUGCGGACUUUCAACGUGGCACAUUGUCGAUUCGGUGGCG
rnacentral:rRNA from 1 species